rnacentral:rRNA from 1 species
AUUGAACGCUGGCGGCAGGCCUAACACAUGCAAGUCGAGCGGAUGAAGGGAGCUUGCUCCUGGAUUCAGCGGCGGACGGGUGAGUAAUGCCUAGGAAUCUGCCUUGUAGUGGGGGAUAACGUCCGGAAACGGGCGCUAAUACCGCAUACGUCCUGAGGGAGAAAGUGGGGGAUCUUCGGACCUCACGCUAUCAGAUGAGCCUAGGUCGGAUUAGCUAGUUGGUGGGGUAACGGCCUACCAAGGCGACGAUCCGUAACUGGUCUGAGAGGAUGAUCAGUCACACUGGAACUGAGACACGGUCCAGACUCCUACGGGAGGCAGCAGUGGGGAAUAUUGGACGAAGGGCGAAAGCCUGAUCCAGGCAUGCCGCGUGUGUGAAGAAGGUCUUCGGAUUGUAAAGCAAUUUAAGUUGGGAGGAAGGGCAGUAAGUUAAUACCUUGCUGUUUUGACGUUACCAACAGAAUAAGCACCGGCUAACUUCGUG